CAUACCGCGUGGGGGAUGGCCACGCGGUAACGAUAGUGGGGAAUAGGGGAGGGAGAUCAGUGCAAGAGAGGGGAGGGGAAGGAGGACUGUGUCGGUGAGCGGAGAGGAGGCCGAGACUGGGUUGCGGCGGCGGCUAGAGGAGAAGGCGUAGUGGAGAGGCCGCCGGAGGAGAGGGGUAGGUGCGGCGCGGCCGCUGGAGGGAUAGGAGAGGAGACAGACGGACCAGCCCGGCUCUGGGAUCGGGCUACGGUACCGCUGGUACCGUCGUCCUCCUCGGGCCAGUACCGCCGGAGGAGAGGGACGUCGCGACGGCGUGGAGUGGAAGAGAAGAGAAGAGAGGAGAAGAGAGGAUCAUCUCCUCUCCUCCCCUCCCUUCCCUUCCGGAAGAGGCCGCUCGAAGGUCCCUCCACUCCUCGUGGGUCUAGGUCUAGGUGCCGCGUAGCAGGGCAGCAGCUGGACUCGGCGCUGGUAGGUAGGUCCCGGCUGUCUUCGGUCCUGCCUCUACGGUCUUUGGGAUCGGAUCGGAUCGGUACCUCCAUGCUGCGGAGUUGGAGGCCCGCUGUCUGCUGCCGACGUCCGGUAGAGGCCACUGCCUAGAGGCUGGGGCUGGUACCCGUCCGACGACGACAACCUCCGCGUGCAGCGGACGGAGGCGCAGCGGUGGGGGCAGCUGGUCGAGGGGGCGUAGCUGCGCGUCUAGCGGCGCGCGCGGGGCGGCGGGCACGGGGGGCGGCGGCGUGGGCGGCCGCCGCUCCUCGAGCUGGAGAAGUACUGUGUGAUACACGACGAGGAGACAAGGAAGUUCCUUGUCGAGGUCGUCGUACACGCGCAGGUGUGGUACCUCCGCCACUACCGGACCACCCUCGAGCUCGUUUGAGACGUCUCAGAAUGUUCCCGUAGAGGACCACUUCCGUGGCCCCGUUGAUACAGGCUACUGCUUCUGUUAGGCCAGCUGUCACUCUCGUUGUACAAACUGCCCUUACUACACAGUCUACCGUACCCGAAGCCUUACGAUUGGCUCCCACUCUCUAGGAACCAGCUCGCGCACUCCGUUCUCGACUUCGUACUCGAAUUUGUCCCCAUAUCUCUUUUCGAACACCUGUAGUCCCUCCUCUAUGACGUCUUCGCUUCUCGGCCUUUCGAGGGUCCCCUGUGCCGCAGAUGGGACUUUCGAACCACCGUUCGGGUGCGGUUUACCGGCAUGGGUUGACUCCUCCUGUUCCGCGCCGACCACGUCCUCUGCCCCGACGUCGACUUCGUCUAGUUGUUGACCAAGUAGUUGGUCGCGUUCGCCUUGACCGUGUCGUUGGGAUGGAGCAGGAGCAGUCUGUUCUCUUUCUCUUUUUCCUUGUUACGUCCACUCCCGUUGCGGCUCGUCAGGACCAUCCCACCCACGCCAGCCAGCCUCUCGCUUCUUGCUUCUUGCUUACGGGGUAUAUACCUAUUUCACUUCUUUUUCUUCUUUUCUAAUGAUCUUCUAAUCAAAAUCCUAAAAGAAAAUAAAGGAACGUUAAAAGGAAAAUAACCUAUGAACAUUUCUGUAACAUUAUAAGAAUGAUAUUAUUUUUUAUACUAAGAUAAAGU
rnacentral:rRNA from 1 species